ensembl:lncRNA
UUUUUUUUUUUUUUAACGUGUGUGUAUUUUGUGGUUUUCGUAGCAGUGCAGUCGAUCGUAGCCUCUAGAAAGUCCUCAGAUCGGAUUAGAAGUGAAAAACCAUCUCCGGCGUGCAGCUGAAGCCUGAAGGAGACACGGCGGUUUGUGGCUGUGGUGUGACAGAGAGAAAGGCGACCAAAAAGAAAAAAAAAUCAAAACCAAAACAAGCAACAACAACAACAAAAGCCCGAAAACCAUAGAUGCAGGAUGUGCUCUAGGCAGCAGGCCUUCACCUUGUGGGGCUUUAGUUUUUCUUCAUGAUUUUGUUCUUCCGCGCUUCAUUGUGUGUGUUUCCCCAUUUUGCACAUAUAUUUUAGUGCCUGAGAGCUGAGGAGGAAGGAUGGGAGGUGUCCCCCUCCCUCACAGUUGUCCCCCUUCAUCCUGCAGAUCAUAGAAUCAUUAAGGUUGGAAAAGCCCACUAAGGUCCCCAAGUGCAACCCCAACCCAUCCCAACGUGCCCACUGACCAUGUCCUUCAGUGCCACAUCUCCACGGUUCCGGAAUACCUCCAUGGAUGGUGACCCCACCACCUCCAUGGGCAGCCUGUGCCGAUGCAUCACCACUCUUCCUGAGAAGAAAUGUCUCCUAAUCAUAGAACCACAGAAUCAUAGAAUGGCCUGGGUUGAAAAGGACCACAAUGAUAAUGUACUUCCAACCCCCUGCUAUGUGCAGGGUCACCAACCACCAGACCAGGCUGCCCAGAGCCACAUCCAGCCUGGCCUUGAAUGCCUCCAGUGAUGGGGCAUCCACAGCCUCCUUGGGCAACCUGUUCCAGUGCGUCACCACCCUCUGGGUGAAAAACUUCCUCCUAAUAUCCAACAUAAACCUCCCCUGUCUCAUUUAAAACCAUUCCCCAACCUGAACCUCCCCUGAUGCAACUGAAGUGCUUUCUUAAACAAGAACCAGCUGAAGGCAAAUAGCAUCAUCUUUGCAUAACAUGCCCUAACAAAACCAAAUGCCCUAAGCUUUGCAGGAAGCUAAGGAGGAUGUAGACAAGGAUGGUGCUCGAAGUUGCAGCUUUUCUUUGUAGCUCAGAGGUUCCAUUGCAAACCCAGCUUGAAAUGUGACUUUUAGUUCAGCUAGGCAGCACAGUAGGAAUGCCACUUACCAGAAUAAUACAGCCCUUUUGAGAUUUAUUCAUCAGCAGUAACUGUGAUGCUCUAGCAGAGAAUCAUUUUUAUUGCAUGAGAGUGAAAAAAGGAGAUGUAAAACAUGAAGCAGUUAUGUAUGAACCGUCUGAAGCUGCGACUGCUGGGUUUCUGCAGAUGUCCUAUGUCAUUUUCCAAGAACACUUCUUAGUUUCAUUAAGGAUGAAAACCCAGACUUGGAAAUAUGUGGGAGAAGGUCCAGAAGGUCUGAAGGCCAAAUUCUGCCUGUAGUUACAACAGCACAGUUGUUCAGAGCCACCUACUUAGCUACCAUCAAUUCAUCAAUUACCCGUACCAAUGGGAUGGCUGAGAUAGUGUAGACAAAGAAGAAAAAAAAAAGACACACAACAAAACUACACAAAAGGAAUGAAUCCUGAAAAGCAUAAGAGGUCAUCUGGACUCAGAAUGAUUGCAUGGAGCCUGCUUAGAUAAUUUAGGGUAAUCCAGGCGGGCCACCCAAGGGAGACCACGACUCGACAACGUUUCUUUAUGUGUGAUGAACAGAACGUCAGGAGCAUUCCAGUUAUAUGCUAAAGAAUGAAAAUAAGAACAGAGUGGUUUAGACUUCAUUAAUAAGGAAUCAUGGCUAAAUACCCCAUGGGUGACAUUUUCUCAGUGCAUUCACAUAAAAUAGACUGAUUCAUUGCGGGUUCCAGAAGAAAAUGCAGAAUGUGAAAAUGCCAGCUUUUUCUUUUAUAUAUUCUUAGUUGCCUUCCACCUUCUUAGUUCUUAUUACCUACAUCCUCAGUUUCUGACUGAGUCAUCAGUUACAGAGGCUCAAAAUUACGGAGCACUCUGACUUUCCCAAAAGCAGAAGCACAAAGAAACUUGUUGAGAGCAGCUCGGUUUCAUCAUGAUUCCUAAGGAUGCAGGGCUCAUGCCAUCGUGCUGUCAGCCAGUUCUCUCUCAUGAUAACCAGUAAAUCUAUGGAACGUUCAACUGAUGUCAACAAGUCAUUCACAAAUUGGUCCUAUAGGUCCUAUAAGACUUAGGUCUAAAAGUGUUAACAGUGCAUUACUGUUAGCUUUUCUAUUACAGCCAGCAGACACAGAUGAAAUUAAAGCUCAUUAGUCCUGAAGUAUUUUCAUCUGUUGGUAACCCAACGAGCAGCCCUGGGCAAGUUGUUUCACCUUUCUUGUGCAUCCAUCUCCAUUCUUUGUAAAGAAUUUAGAAAACAAAUAGCAGGAUGAUGUACAUAAGCCAUGCAUAAUCAUUUAUAACAGCAUACUGCUAGGCUUAUAAAGAAAUGGCCCAAUUAUAUGCAUUUAAGCAAAAUCCAUUCCCACUUAGGUUAAGAAAUACAGCGACCAUCGAGGACCCCUAUAUUGUUUCACGUUCUCUAGGACCAGAUAUAAUAAUUCAAUUCUCAUCAAUUACAGGCACUGGACUAAUGAAUUACAAGUUUUCUGGGAGCGUAUAGAACAAUCUGUGUCUCACUGCACUUCCCUGUACCUCAUAAGAUAAUGGAAGGGAGAAGAAAACACGCUGUGGUUUCAAGGCACCAGCAGUGAUAUGGCACAGCACAGGGGAGAAGUGGUGAUUUUCACUUGGAAAAAGUGAUUUGUAUGCAGCCCAGGUCACCAGCAACAAAGCCAUUCCUCGCAGCUCUUUGGGGGCUCAUACAAAACGAGCACAGCAGCCUCUCUGCUCUUCUUGCUGGAUUAUUAACUGCAUCUCCACUCACGCCACUACAAACUCCAUUCUCAUUGUGGCACACAGCUGACAGACCUGCAUUCAUCCGAGCCACAAACUCUGAAAUGCCCUUUUUCUUCAGAGCAGCCUUCUGAAGGAUAAAAGUGCCAAUGGAAAAGAAAAGCAAGCUGGUGCUGUGUCUGCAAACCAGAGUCAUGAGCAACACCUCUGUCACUGUGCAGUCAUCCCUGAAAUUUUGGGAAAAGCAUGUACUUUUUUAAGAGGAUUCUCUUAACAUGGACCAGACACCAAGCACACAGACUUCCUGCUGCUCCUGGGCUCAGGCACAUACAGAGGGAAAAUAAAAGAUGUCUUGUAUUCUCUAGCU